ACACCAUUUAAGACCUAAAGUAUUAAAGCAUUCUUUGGCUUAGAUUUUGGAAGAAAAUUCCCUUACUUUUUUCUGAUAUUAGCUAAUCACUUCCAAAGAGAAUCCUAAUUGAAAACAACCAACAAAAGACUUGACCUUUCUCUUGUUUUCAUGACUAAUCUCAGCAACCAAACUAAAAGGAGAGUAAUUCAACCAUUCCAAUUGUUAAUACACAAGAAAAACAAAAAAAAGGAACUGGGUAAUUGUUUGAUUUCCAUUUUCCAAGUUCUUGUCGAAACCAAGCAUGGGCAUACAGUAUUCAUCUAUGAUGGUUAUCCCAAGAGCCCAAAUGGGUCAUCUUUAAAUCCUUGAUUAUGUAUUUGAAUCAGAAAACAACAUAAAAACAGAGAGAUUUGGGGUUUGUAGUGAUUACCAGAAGACGAGGAGGGACUUUCAUGGAGCAAACAACACGCCCAGGUUCAAUGAGAUCAAUAUGAAGGCCUUGCAUUAUAAAUCUUUCAAAGAAUCUGAGAGGCAUUUUUUCAAUGGUUGAUGCAUUCUUGUCUUCUUCAUAUCCUCCUGUCUCUAAGUAUCUCUUCACUGAUUCCAAAUCCAUUUUUCUUUCUUCCCUUUCCGACUCGUCUCAGACAAAGGUAUGUUUGUUGAGAGAGUGAUGAGCAAAGACGCAAAGCUAAUCACUUUCAAAGAGAUUGAUCUAGUGGUUAAGGUGGUUUGUUCCUUUUUAGGAUAUAAAUUAAUAUCUAAUUUUUUUUUAAAAUUAAAUUCUUUUAAAUGUAUCAUGCUAAUAUGAGAUAUAUGACGUGCAAGGUAAAAAAAAUAAAAACAUACAUUCAUGAAUAAAGUUGAGUUUUCUAGGCCUAAACAUUUUUAAAAAAUCAUUCUAAUAUGAAUAUUCCUUUUUAACUUCUUGGGUUUUUCCCUAUUUUUUUUUUUGUAUUUUUAGGAUUCCAAAAUUAUAUUGUUUGGCAUAAUUUUUUUUGUUAAUUAAUGGAAAAUACCAAAUACAUGGUAAUGGAAAAGUAAAAAUUAUAUUAUUGAUGACCCAAUUAACAAUAACUAAAUAGACUCAAUUAGAUGAGUUUGUUCAUGGUGAUUUUUUUUAUUGUAAUUAAUUUUAUAUAAUGUAAGUAAAUUUCAAUUAAUUUGUUUUUAUUUCUUUCCUAUUAAUCAUAUACCUUUUCUUUUAUCAAGUUAGUAAUUUAUUUUUAAAAUUUCUUCGCAACUAUUACAACUUAUUUAGUUAAAAGUAAGAAAAAAAUAAAAUAAAAUAAAUUUGUGUGUUUACAAUAAUUUUAAAAUGAAUUUCUAAGCUUUUAAAUUAAAAAAAAUAUAGAAAAAUACAUAGUUUUUAAACCUGGUCUGGUGGUUGGCCCGGUUUAAGAUCCGGGUUCCGGCGUUUGACUGGGUCGCCCGGGUCAAUUCUUUUUUUUUUAAAAUCAAAACGACAUCGUUUUAGUAAAAAAACAAACAAAAAUCAACGAGUUGCAACCGGGUUUUUGACCGAGUCUUGCCGGGCCGACCCACCAGACUGAGUUGGGUUUGAAAAUAAUGAAAAAACAUAUCCUCUUUAACUUAAUUAUCUUUUUUUUUUUUUUUAUCAAAACAGUAACCAAAAUGCUACAAGAUAUGCUUUGGUGAUGUAUUUACAAGUUGGUGCCAAGAUUUCAGAGAAAUUAAGGGAUUUUUAACAAAAUAAAAUUCCCCGCAAUUUAUAAUUAAGUUGUUUACUUUGCCAGCCUUAGGAGUGAAGACCCUCUCAAAUCACCUUCUUGCUGCAGCAAGAACAUUCAAAAUGCUACAAAGGGAACCAUUUCUCAUCAGGUGUUGUGCCAUCAUAGACUCUGCAAAGGUACUUAAGGCAGGUAAGGUUAAAGCCAUCUAUACUGUGGAUAAAUCAUGGGAAGAAGAUGUUCUAAACUGUUUUCAUUGUCCAAUAUCUGAUGAGUAGCCUAAACACAAUCGACAUUAAUAUAUUUCAGUUCAUCAAUUUAUGAAAUAAAAUCAUUGCAUUGCAUUGCAUAGAAAAUGCUGUCUUGAAUUCACUCCAGGAGAAAUUCGGAAAGGAGCUGCAACAAUAUGCGAGGAGGGCAACCAAAUUUACUGCUCAGCAUGGCUGUCAGAGUGUCAAACUCUCCAUCAUUCAACUCAUCUGACAAUUAUUUUUAUCAGAGAAUGUGCAGUGUUUGAUGCGUUAUUCAGUGAUACAUUACUGGUUCUCGAGAACGAACUACCAUGAAAGACUUGCAAGCCGUUUACAUUUUACUAGAAAUAAGAAGGUACUUGGUAUGACGCCCUUGAGCAAUAAUUGCCCCACUCUUUUUCUUCCUGAAAUCAACACUCGCAGAUCCAACAGCUUUGCCUGCACGUAGAACCCUGGCUUCAAUCUCGAUUUCUUCCUGAAUGAACGGAAACAGAAAACUUCGUCAGACUGGCAAGUCAAACGUUGUUUAUGAUUCAGUAAUUUUUACAUGUACGAUGGAACAUCCACACAUAUACACAGCUGCUAUGAUGAAUGGAAUCAACACUACAUAUCAGCAUUGAGAUUUCCCUUACUCCAUUAUAUUGUUCUAGAAAUCUAAGAUUUCCCUUACUCCAUCUUGACCAAAACUUCUUGCUUGUCAACAAACAGAAUGGACCUAAUAGUUCAUCUAAUCAAAUAAAUAAAACAUUGCACAAAAAAAUUCAAUACAAUUUCCAACUUCAACUUAUCAUACUCCAAAGUGAGUUGACAGUGACAGAACUCAUGUGAUGCCAGCUGCAAUUAAACGUAGGCAACCUCAAAACUUAGAAAUCUACAAUAAGGCUUGCUACAUCUAAGUUCGAUAGGGUUUCAGAUAAAAUUGAUAGCAAUAUGAAUCAAAUUCUUCAUCAAUCAGGCCCUGUAUUGACACCGUUACCAAAAGAAACAACAGACAUAGGUAAGUCAACAUGUUUAACCAUAAAAAAAUGCAUUUAACAAUUCUUUGAUUUGAAAAAGAUUUCCUUAUCCACUCUGUCAAAUAUUCAAGAAAUUAUGGUUGGAAUUGUGCUAUCAAUUGUAUUGAAGAAAUAAAAUUAACACAAAGAAACGAGUAUCGAAAAAUAGAGAGCAGGGAAUGAUACCCACAUCAGCAUAAGCAGCAUCCAAGUAUGAAACAUUAAUUUCCACAGAAACUCCUGUUAAGAACACUCCUGCUGCGAUCAGUGCAGCUGACCCUACCACAUCAACCAGCAUUGCUGUAGCCCCAGCAUGCAAGCAAUCGCUACCGUUCUUCACAAUAAGCCAUCAAGCAAAACCCCAAUAAUCAGCAACACCCUUUAAAACCAAAAUGAUUAAAUCAUUGUUUGGCUUAAAGUUAUGGAACAAAUUUACGAACUUGUCAGUAUUUUAUCUCAAAACAAGAAUAUAAAGAAAAUUACUUCAAAAAAAAUCCUAACUAAAGAGCAGACAUAAAAAAAUUCUCAACUUUCUCUUGGUCAUCAUGAAUUAUCUGAACGACCAAACUAAAUGGAGGGUAAUCCAACCAUUUCUCUAAUUUGCCUUAGUUCUGUUGUCAAAACCAAUCAAGGGAAAACAAUAGUCCGCCGUGGAAGUUAUCCCAAGAAUCCAAAGGAGUCAUCUUGAGAUCCUUGAUUAUGCAUUUGAAUAAGUUGAUAGCAAUAAAGCACAGAGUUUGAGGUUUGAAGUGGUUACCAGAAGACGAGGAGGGACUUUCAUGGAGCAAACAACACGCCCAGGUUCGAUGAGAUCAAUAUGAAGGCCUUCCAUUACGAAUUUUUCAAAGAAUCUGAGUGGCGUUUCUUCAAUUUUUGAUGCUUUCUUGUCAUCUUCAUGUCCUCCUUUCUCUAUGUAUCUCCUCACAGAUUCCAAAUCCAUUUCGUCUAUUC
rnacentral:lncRNA from 1 species